rnacentral:rRNA from 1 species
GGCCUACACAUGCAAGUCGUGGGGCAGCGGGUAUGCUUGUUUUCAAGUAUAUGCCGGCGACCGGCGCACGGGUGAGUAACGCGUAUCCAACCUGCCCAUCACAAGGGAAUAACCCGUCGAAAGUCGGCCUAAUGCCCUAUGUAUUCUGAUGAAGUCCUCUGAAUCGGAAUAAAGCAUUUGCGGUGAUGGAUGGGGAUGCGUCUGAUUAGCUUGUCGGCGGGGUAACGGCCCACCGAGGCGACGAUCAGUAGGGGUUCUGAGAGGAAGGUCCCCCACAUUGGAACUGAGACACGGUCCAAACUCCUACGGGAGGCAGCAGUGAGGAAUAUUGGUCAAUGGGCGUGAGCCUGAACCAGCCAAGUAGCGUGCAGGAUGACGGCCCUAUGGGUUGUAAACUGCUUUUAUACGGGGAUAAAAGGGUGAACGUGUUCUCCUUUGCAGGUACCGUAUGAAUAAGGACCGGCUAAUUCCGUGCCAGCAGCCGCGGUAAUACGGAAGGUCCUGGCGUUAUCCGGAUUUAUUGGGUUUAAAGGGAGCGCAGGCUGCACUUUAAGCGUGUUGUGAAAUGUACCGGCUCAACCGGUAACGUGCAGCGCGAACUGGGGUGCUUGAGUACGAAGAGGGAAAGCGGAACUCGUGGUGUAGCGGUGAAAUGCUUAGAUAUCACGAGGAACUCCGAUCGCGAAGGCAGCUUUCCGUUUCGGAACUGACGCUGAGGCUCGAAAGUGCGGGUAUCGAACAGGAUUAGAUACCCUGGUAGUCCGCACGGUAAACGAUGGAUGCUCGCUGUUGGAUAUUUUUAUUCAGUGGCUAAGUGAAAACGUUAAGCAUCCCCACCUGGGGAGUACGCCGGCAACGGUGAGACUCCAAGGAAUUGACGGGGGCCCCGCACAAGCGGAGGAACAUGUGGUUUAAUU